rnacentral:tRNA from 1 species
UGGGUUGUGGCUCAGUGGUAGAGUGCUUGCCUAGCAUGUGUGAGGCACUGGGUUCAAUUCUUAGCAUCACAU